GCUGAGACUCUGCAACAUGGACCUGAUGAGGUCCACCGCAUUAAGCAAAUCCGGCCAGCAGGCUUGAGCUACCUGUUGAGGUUGCAGGGUCUGCUACACACAAUUCGAAUGGAGAAUGUUGGUGGAAACAAUGAUGACGUUGGCCUGGAAGCAGUAAAAGAUGGAUAGGCAGUGUUAUCUCAGGGUCAGCCAAGCACGACAGCACCGGUGAUGACGAACGCGACCAUGACUUUGUAUUAUUUGUGGAACCUAAUGUUGUGUAACAGUUUGAUUGAGUUAAACUUUAAAUAGACUGUUGUUAACUGUUUUGUUGGUA